rnacentral:tRNA from 1 species
GAGGGCACAGCUUAAGUGGGAGAGCGCGUGCUUAGUGUACAUGAGGUCCUGGGUUCAAUCCCCAGUACCUCCU